rnacentral:lncRNA from 1 species
GGCUGCAGAUGUCCAGCAGCACACACCUGUUCAUGUGCUGUGGAAUUAUCUUGAACUAGCUUUACCUUCAGCCAUUCCAGUUCAUCCACCCACAGAAGUGCUGAGAGAAGUUUCCGCAGCUGAAGCCAGUCAGGCUGAGGCGGAACUCCGUGCUCUGUGGACAAACUUCUCCGCAGAUCUGGGGCGCGGCACGGCCAUGCCCUGAGGGCGCGUGCAACCGCUCGAGCCCCGCAGAGCUCCUUCUCAGCCUCACAGGGAAGGCUGGCGGCGGGCCCUGCUCCGUUCGGCGGGACGUGGCACCUCGGGGCCGUGUUUACCGCAGAGCCGCCUGUGUGGGGGUCUGCCAGCGGGGCCUCAACCCCCCACUUCGUUCCUACCCACCCGCGGCCCCGCUCCCUCUGCCGCCCCCUCCACCUCGUGUUUCCCCGGAGCUCCCGCUCGGAGCCUCUCGGCCCAACUCACGUAGUUCCUGCAGCGGAGGCGCGCGGGGCCGAAGCCGGAUCCCGUCACACGCCCCCGGCCCCGCGCAGGGGGAGCGGUCUGUGGGGGAGGCGGCCUGCAGCUGUCCGCAGGAACGUCGGGCUCUUCGACCGUCGUGCAAAGUCUGUCGGGGGAAUUCAGCGCUGAUUCGAAACAGUACGAGCAGCUGCGGGGCGAAGUCCGCCUCACGCGCCCUCGUAAGUUGUACUGAAAUGGGUAAGAGCGAGGUGUACGGGCGGGCAUCUGGAGAGCAGGGGAAUCGCACUUCAGAAGUCACCAGGCCCCUUUGCCUACACGUUGAACAGAACCGAAGACCUGUUUAGGAAUCUUUCCCUAUGUUCUCUGGCCUUAAGAUGGGAAUUCUACAGUUUAAAUAAUAACGUCAUCUUUUAAUUUGUGAAUGUAUGUUGUGGUUGUCUUGCUUUCUGUGAGGUAGUGAAUUUAGUUUAGCUACUGGCAAAAAGUACUUUUAAUAGACUAAAUCCUCGCACAUUUGGGUAUGCAGACAUGCCAUUAACACUAAGUACAACUGUUUCUAAACCUGUUGGAGCUUUAUGGUAUUUUUAUCCCAUAACUUUCCAAGCAUCAGUACAUGAACUCAUAGAACAGCUGUGUCUCUUUCUAACCGACACUUCUGACUUGCCCCCUUCCGAAGCACAAACACUGCUAAGGUCAUAAGCUGCCAUCUGCAGGGUGUCUGGUGCCUGUCACAGGCACAGCUAGAGAGAAAUACAUUUAAUCAGUUAGUUAUUAAACAGAUUAAAGUAUCACUAGGGAAGUUUGUGGAAUCCAAACGUUACUGUCUAUAAAAGAAGAGACACAGGUGAAUUCCGCAGUAAUUAGUCUUGGGCUUGAAUACUUAAUGCUGCU